rnacentral:rRNA from 1 species
AGAGUUUGAUCAUGGCUCAGGACAAACGCUGGCGGCGUGCCUAACACAUGCAAGUCGAACGAGAAAGUCGGCUUCGGCCGAUGAGUAAAGUGGCGCACGGGUGAGUAACACGUGGGUAACCUACCUCUCUGAGGGGGAUAACACACCGAAAGGUGUGCUAAUACCGCAUAACACGACGUUGUUUAUUAUGAUGUCGUCAAAGGUGGCGUAAGCUGCCGCUGAGAGAUGGGCCCGCGGACCAUUAGCUUGUUGGUAGGGUAAUGGCCUACCAAGGCUGCGAUGGUUAGCUGGUCUGAGAGGAUGUCCAGCCACACUGGAACUGGAACACGGUCCAGACUCCUACGGGAGGCAGCAGUGAGGAAUUUUGCGCAAUGGGGGGAACCCUGACGCAGCAACGCCGCGUGAGUGAAGAAGGCCUUCGGGUUGUAAAGCUCUGUCAGAGCUGAAGAAACUACUUCGGGUAAAUAGCCCGUUGUACUGACGGUAAGCUCAGAGGAAGCACCGGCUAACUCCGUGCCAGCAGCCGCGGUAAUACGGAGGGUGCAAGCGUUGUUCGGAAUUAUUGGGCGUAAAGAGCGUGUAGGCGGUCCUGCAAGUCAGGUGUGAAAUCCCGGGGCUUAACCCCGGAACUGCGCCUGAAACUGCAGGACUUGAGUACGGGAGAGGUAGGGAAUUCCUGGUGUAGAGGUGAAAUUCGUAGAUAUCAGGAGGAACACCCGUGGCGAAAGCGACCUACUGGACCGAUACUGACGCUGAGACGCGAAAGCGUGGGGAGCAAACAGGAUUAGAUACCCUAGUAGUCC